GUAUAGCACAGGGAACUCCACUUCGCUGUACAGUAGAAACUAACACAACAUUGUAAAACAACUGUACCCCAAUUAAAAACAAACAAAAAACAAACAAAAAAACUAAAAGUAAAAAAAAUGAAAACAAAAUAUGGUCUCUGGACCAGCAGUAUUCGUGUCUCCUGGGAAUUUGUUAGAGAGGCAAGUUUUGGGGCCCAACUUCAGACCUACUGUAUCAGAAGCUCUUAGGAUAAGGUCUCGCAAUCUCCCUCCAGGGGAUUCUGGUGCACAUUACUGUUUACGCACCCCGUCCUGGACUGUCUGGUUGCCCUCCGUGAAGGCAGAUUAGGCCACUUCAUCUCCCCCUCCUCCCUGUACUAGUCCGAGAGUAGAAUUUCUGCCUGGGGUCAGGUUUCACUCUAUCUCUACCAUCCUGUUGCUCAAAUCCAUCAAAAGGAUCAUGAUUAUUUCUACAUAUAAAUAGUCCAGGUUAAGUAAGAUUACCAUGGGAGCAUAACGAGCCACGUAUUCUGGUGCUGUGAUUUACAGACAUCCAUCCUGACCUGAACUAACUGGGUACUAAUUCUGCAAUGGCAGACAACAUGCAAUUUUUUAAAAAACAAAAGAAAUGCCACAGGAGGGAGUGGUGGGGAUGGUGGAGGAGCUCAAGGGUUUGAAGUCCGCUAGGAUAUUACCCUAUAUCACACUUAGGAUAACUUCCCUGUACUUCCUUUUUCUUUCCUCUUAUUUUUUCCUUCUGUUCUAGUUCUGAUUUUCUUUCUUACAGGAGCAGAUGAGUAGUUUGACAAUGCUACUGGCUAAUGAAAAGAAGAGAGCAUUACCUUAUUUAUAGACUUUGGGCAUUACUACCUAGCGGCUUAAAUGUGAAAGCUGAGAAGGCUGUGGCUAAUGUGAACUUAGCAAAAGCUGCCCAGUUAUGCUUACAACCUCACUAAUGAGUUGAGGUCAACAUUUCUGAGGUUACUUUUGCCAGAAGGAUUCUAAGACAGUCUUGGUUGACCACUGGGGUGACCACUGAACCUUAAAGGAGAAACAAACAUAGUGCCCUAGGGCCUAAGGCUGACCUCAAUAUUCAUAAACCAGGACAGGACAAUCAUCUUCUCUUGACAGAUGAGGAAGAUGGGGUUCUAACAGGCUAAGGAAAACUGCCCACAGUCACAGAACAAAAAGUGGUGGAUUCCCAGUCCCUGAAGGUCCUAGGACAUGUGCCAAGUAAUUACUUGGUGGAGCCAUGGCAGAGGAAAUUCAAAGGGAUUCUCCAAGAAGCAGGAAGAUUGAAUCUCAUCAGCAAACCCUCACAAGGCUGAAGUUGUCCUCUCUUCACUCUCUCAGUGCCUGAAACUUUAAGUCAUUCUGCAGUGCCUUUUCAAAUUGGGACCCGCCUCAGUCCAUGUGGUAUUUCUAAUGAAAGCAGUGACUUCUGGGAGGCUACCUCAUCCUGUGCACCAAUCCUCCCACUGGAUCCUGGCCACUACCUCAAAAUGAGGUGUCUCUAAUUCUAGAGUGGAAUCAGGAGGAUCCAGAUGCAUUGCCACUUAUAACUGGUAUAAAUUACAGCCCAGAAGCAGAGGUGUGCAAGAAAUAGUACGAAAAAUUUUUUUAUAACUGCACGUAAUUUGUAUUUUAAGCCUUGAUCCUGCUGGUGUCCUGUUUGGAUUUCCGCCAUCCCUAUUUGGAAGUCAUACAGGGCCAAGGUUUUGAGGGAGUGGGUGGAAGCAUGAUCAUUGUGGACUGGAGCCCACAGUUGUAAGUGUAGAUGCCCAUCAGCUCGGGGGCCGUGCCUCCUGUAGGUUUGGUGGCUCCUGUGCCAUGCGUGGGGCAGGUUGCCCUGAUUCUGCUUGUAUGCACGCU